rnacentral:lncRNA from 7 species
AGAGUCUGUUUAACUGUGUUGCUGUGUGGAAGUAUAAAUCAGCAGUGAACCCAUGAGUUACAGAAUUAGGAGAGGUCAUUUGUUUUGUUUCACUUCUCUGGAUUCGUGCCAGUUCUUCUCUUGAAAUGCGAUGCUUCAGUGGGUAUAAACAACUAACAACUCUACCCAACUUAAUCUCCCACUGUGCUUGUCUCCUGUGAGAUGACUGCCCUGCAUCCCACCUUCAGGAGAAGCAGGCAAAUGAUUGAUGGGAAUAGGAAUCUCCAGUUCAGGUGUGCUGGCAGUUUUCAUAUGUUGCCUUCAAAGUCAGUAACAGGAGAGCAUUUCCUCUUGGAGCUUGAUAGUUCAAGAACACAUCAAGAAUUCUCAUGAAAAAAAAGUAUGGGUAGACAUAUGCAAUAUAUUUCCAGGAUGAUGGCUGCUUUUUUAUUGGCAGUAAUGAAGAAAUUGUAGACUUACCACGCAUACACUAGAAUAUAGGAUAUACAAACAGUUUAAUCUUCAGUGUUAUGAUCAUCUUAAUCAGUCCUGGGAUUAUAAUGAACUAAGGUUUGUGAAAGUUUUUUUUCCCAUUCUCAUAUGUGGUGUAACAGUAUCAAUGGACAGAGCUUGCUGAGUCUUAGAUGUCCAUUUUUAGAACUUAGGCAAGUUUAAAUGCAUGUAAAAUGAAAUUUUAGAGGUAGCAAUGCAGGGGGGGAAAAAAAAGUACAUUUUUCUUUAACCAAGUAACAUUUCUAUUGUUAUUCUAGCACUGGCUUUUGUUUAAGUGGCAAAUAAACUUAUAUCUCACUUUGUAUAUUUUCACAC